rnacentral:rRNA from 1 species
GACAGAGGGGGCAAGCGUUGCUCGGAAUUACUGGGCGUAAAGGGCGCGUAGGCGGGAUGGCAAGUCGGUCGUGAAAUCCCUCGGCUCAACUGAGGAUCGUCGAUCGAUACUGCCGUUCUUGAGGAUUGCAGAGGAGACUGGAAUUCCCGGUGUAGCAGUGAAAUGCGUAGAUAUCGGGAGGAACAUCUGUGGCGAAGGCGACACCCUGGACCAGCACUGACACUGAGGCACGAAAGCGUGGGGAGCAAACAGG